rnacentral:rRNA from 1 species
UGGGGAAUUUUGGACAAUGGGGGAAACCCUGAUCCAGCCAUCCCGCGUGUGCGAUGAAGGCCUUCGGGUUGUAAAGCACUUUUGGCAGGAAAGAAACGUCAUGGGUUAAUACCCCGUGAAACUGACGGUACCUGCAGAAUAAGCACCGGCUAACUACGUGCCAGCAGCCGCGGUAAUACGUAGGGUGCAAGCGUUAAUCGGAAUUACUGGGCGUAAAGCGUGCGCAGGCGGUUCGGAAAGAAAGAUGUGAAAUCCCAGAGCUCAACUUUGGAACUGCAUUUUUAACUACCGGGCAAGAGUGUGUCAGAGGUAGGUGGAAUUCCGCGUGUAGCAGUGAAAUGCGUAGAUAUGCGGAGGAACACCGAUGGCGAAGGCAGCCUCCUGGGAUAACACUGACGCUCAUGCACGAAAGCGUGGGGAGCAAACAGG